rnacentral:lncRNA from 1 species
GUACCCAAUUGCAAGCAGGGAAGAGAAAAGCAAAAGAACGGAUGAGACUUAUAUAUACUGCCAAAAGAGGAGGACAUCUGAACAGCAAUAGAGCAGAGGAAGAAACCCUAAGUCAUGUAGAACUUGAACAGAUCUCUUCAGAACUGGGAAAACAUCUCCUUUUGUUGACAUCACAUGAAGGUUGAAGUCUGCUGUCAGGACCAUGUUUAAGGAUCUCAAUUGCCAUGUGGAUAA